rnacentral:rRNA from 1 species
CCUACGGGUGGCUGCAGUGAGGAAUAUUGGUCAAUGGACGAGAGCCUGAACCAGCCAAGUAGCGUGAAGGAUGACUGCCCUAUGGGUUGUAAACUUCUUUUAUAAAGGAAUAAAACGAGGCACGUGUGCCUUUUUGCAUGUACUUUAUGAAUAAGGAUCGGCUAACUCCGUGCCAGCAGCCGCGGUAAUACGGAGGAUCCGAGCGUUAUCCGGAUUUAUUGGGUUUAAAGGGAGCGUAGAUGGGUUGUUAAGUCAGUUGUGAAAGUUUGGGGCUCAACCGUAAAAUUGCAAUUGAUACUGGCAGGCUUGAGUACAGUUGAGGUAGGCGGAAUUCGUGGUGUAGCGGUGAAAUGCUUAGAUAUCACGUAGAACACCGAUUGCGAAGGCAGCUUACUAAACUGUGACUGACAUUGAUGCUCGAGAGUGUGGGUAGCAAACAGGAUUAGAUACCCUAGUAGUC